GCCCCCAUAGCUCAAUGGAUAGAGCUGCGCUCUUCUAAGGCGAUGAUCUGGGUUCGACUCCUAGUGGGGGCA
rnacentral:tRNA from 1 species